rnacentral:snRNA from 1 species
UUGCUUCAGCAGCACAUGCAAUGAGGUUAGAAUGCUCCACAGAAUCUUAGCAUGGCCGCUCUGUAAGGAUGAUAUGUUAAUUUCUGCAGAUAUAUUUUAUUAA